rnacentral:piRNA from 1 species
AGCUGUGUCAUCACAGGAACCUUGUCUAAAU